CGCCGCCUAGAAUGCAAGUCGUACGGGCCUCGCCUUCUUCGGAAGCGAGGCUCAGUGGCAGACGGGUUGCGCUAACACGUGGGUGACCUGCCCCGAAGUGGGGGAUAACCACAUCGAAAGGGUGGCUAAUACCGCAUGUGCUUGGCGGNNCGGUUCGUCAAGCAAAGCCGCAAGGCGCUUCGGGAGGGGCCCGCGGCCCAUCAGCUUGUUGGUAGGGUAACGGCCUACCAAGGCGAUGACGGGUAGGGGGCGUGAGAGCGCGGCCCCCCACACUGGCACUGAGACACGGGCCAGACUCCUACGGGAGGCAGCAGUUAGGAAUAUUGCACAAUGGGCGAAAGCCUGAUGCAGCGACGCCGCGUGGGCGAAGAAGGCCUUCGGGUCGUAAAGCCCUUUUCUGGGGGAAGAGGAAGGACGGUACCCCAGGAAUAAGUCUCGGCUAACUACGUGCCAGCAGCCGCGGUAAAACGUAGGAGGCGAACGUUAUCCGGAUUUACUGGGCGUAAAGAGCGCGAAGGCGGCCUUGCAAGUCGGGCGUGAAAUCUCCCGGCUCAACUGGGAGGGGCCGUUC
rnacentral:rRNA from 1 species